GACGAACGCUGGCGGCGUGCCUAAUACAUGCAAGUCGAACGCAGUGGGGACGGGUGAGUAACACGUGGGUAACCUCCCAUCAGAGGGGAUAACACUUGGAAACAGGUGCUAAACCGAUACUGAUGGAUGGACCCGCGGUGCAUUAGCUAGUUGGGGAGGUAACGGCUCACCAAGGCCACGAUGCAUAGCCGUCCUGAGAGGGUGAUCGGCCACACUGGGACUGAGACACGGCCCAGACUCCUACGGGAGGCAGCAGUGGGGAAUUUUCGGCAAUGGGCGAAAGUCUGACCGAGCAACGCCGCGUGUGUGAAGAAGGUUUUCGGGUCGUAAAGCUCUGUUGUUAGGGAAGCGGUACCUGAACAAAAAGCCACGGCUAACUACGUGCCAGCAGCCGCGGUAAUUC
rnacentral:rRNA from 1 species